GAUGAACGCUGGCGGCGUACCUAACACAUGCAAGUCGAACGGAAGGACGAGAAGCUUGUUUCUUUGAUGUUAGCGGCGGACGGGUGAGUAACGCGUGGAUCACCUACUUAUAUUUCGGGGAUAAUCACGGGACACCGGAUAUAAUACCAGAUAAUAUUUUGAACCGCAGGGUGCAAAGGAGAAUGACGGUCUUGGUGUCUCUUAUAGAUGGUUCCGCGCUGCAUUAGCUGGUUGGUAAGGUCACGGCCUACCAAGGCUACGAUGCAUAGCCGACCGGAGAGGAUGAUCGGCCACACUGGAACUGAGACACGGUCCAGACUCCUACGGGAGGCAGCAGUAGGGAAUGUUAGGCAAUGGGCGGAAGCCUGACGCAGCAACGCCGCGUGAGUGAUGAAGGUCUUCGGAUCGUAAAGCCCUGUUAUUGGGGAAGAACAUCUGUGGAAUUAAACGUGGCCAUCGUGACGGUACCGAAUCAAGAAGCCCCGGCUAACUACGUG
rnacentral:rRNA from 1 species